rnacentral:ncRNA from 1 species
CUCCUGUGUAAUCCCCCAAAUAGGGUGGGGGAGUUUCUACCUGCAGACCGUAAAUCUGCAGACCACAGGGG